rnacentral:rRNA from 1 species
AAUGAACGCUGGCGGCAGGCCUAACACAUGCAAGUCGAGCGAACGGACGGGGAACUUGCAUAUCUGAUGUUAGCGGCGGGCGAGUUAGUCAUACGUUGAUGACCUCUCUGUGAGACUGGGAUAACUACGGGAAACCGGAUCUGGUACAGGGUAAUAUUGUGAAACGCAUGGUUCAACAGUGAUAAACGGUCUUGCUGUGCCUAGGAGAUCGAACCGCGCUGCAUUAGCUAGUUCGUAAGGUAACGGCUUACCAAGGCAACGAUGCAUAGCCGACCUGAGAGGGUGAUCGGCCACACUGGAACUGAGACACGGUCCAGACUCCGACGGGAGGCAGCAGUAGGGAAUCUUACGCAAUGGGCGAAAGCCUGAUGGAGCAAAGCCGCGUGAGUGAUGAAGGUCUUCGGAUCGUAAAACGCUGUAAGUCGGGAGGAAGAAAAGUUCAUUCACCGGUGAAGAUAUUGACGGUACCCAAAGAGAAAGCCCCGGCUAACUUCGUG